rnacentral:tRNA from 1 species
CGUAGCUCAGCUGGAAGAGCAACUGCCUCCUAAGCAGUAGGUCGGAGGUUCAAAUCCUCUC